rnacentral:tRNA from 1 species
GGCCCUGUAGCUCAAUGGAUAGAGCUCCAGCCUUCUAAGCUGGCCACGAUGGUUCGAUUCCGUCCAGGGUCA